AGAGAAACUCGAAAGUAAAAGCUAUGAAUAUGACUAUGGAGUCUUUAGGCGUCCCCUUUGUCGUCUUCCUGCGGAACGGGCUCGGGAACAAUGUCUUCCUGAUCUGAAAUGAUUAAAUAAGAAAUGAGCUACACUAGCCCAGUAAAGACAUCACGAUAUCUCACCGUCACGGAGGUAAAGGUGGGUAGAAAACACAAAAAGACCAAUGGAGCAUAAUUUACAACAAAUCCUUU
rnacentral:lncRNA from 1 species